AUACAGGUUGCUAUUAUGGCGUUUGCUUUUUUACUCAUAGUAUUAAUCUAUGUGAACGUUCCUAUGUCAACAGAAAAUGACAAUAGACCGGGAUUUUCUACAGUGCCUUACAUGUCUAAACCGUCAGUGAAUUGUCUUAACCUAGAAGAAGCAGAGAAAUUUACUAUGAAAUCAGAUCCACUGAAAGAAAGAUGUGAGCCAGGAUCUGAAUUUGUGAGGAAUUAUUGCCGAG